CCUCUCUCUCUCUCUACCGCACCUGCUGUCUCUACCCCUCUAUCUCUCUACCGCACCUGCUGUCUCUACCCCUCUCUCUCUACCGCACCUGCUGUCUCUACCUCUCUCUCUCUACCGCACCUGCUGUCUCUACCUCUCUCUCUCUACCGCACCUGCUGUCUCUACCCCUCUCUCUCUCUACCGCACCUGCUGUCUCUACCCCUCUCUCUCUCUACCGCACCUGCUGUCUCUACCCCUCUCUCUCUCUACCGCACCUGCUGUCUCUACCCCUCUCUCUCUCUACCGCACCUGCUGUCUCUACCUCUCUCUCGCUCUACCGCACCUGCCGUCUCUACCUCUCUUUCUCUACAGCACCUGCUCUCUCUAACUCUGAAUGAUCGGUUAUGAAAAGCCAACUGACAUUUACUCCUGAGGUGCUGACCUGUUGCACCCUCUACAGCUACUGUGAUUAUUAUUAUUUGACCCUGCUGGUCAUUUAUGAACGUUUGAACAUCUUGGCCAUGUUCUGUUAUAAUCUACACCUGGCACAGCCAGAAGAGGACUGGCCACCCCUCAUAGCCUGGUUCCUCUCUAGGUUUCUUCCUAGGUUCUCGGGCCUUUCUAGGGAGUUUUUUUCCUAGCCACCGUGCUUCUACAUCUGCAUUACUUGCUGUUUGGGGGUUUUAGGCUGGGUUUCUGUACAGCACUUUGUGAUAUCAGCUGAUGGCUUUAUAAAUACAUUGGAUUGAUUGCUGUAUUUAUAACACCUUGUAAGGGUGUUUCUGAGAGAUGUUUUCUAAGACCCCGUUUCCAUCUGUUUGACCAGAAAUCAAAGUCUUUGUUUAUUCAUCAUUUAUAGGAUGGGGGGGGGGGGCUCGGCUCUUAGCUUUCAUUUGACCUCCAAUUUGACACGGCUGCUGUGUUAGUGCUCAUGGACCCUUUUGGUGCUCGUGGGCCCUGUUGGCCCUAUUUGUGCUGAUGGACCCUGUUGGCUCUAUUUGUGCUGAUGGGCCCUGUUGGUGCUCGUGGGCCCUGUUGGUGCUCGUGGGCCCUGAUGGUGCUGAUGGAUCCUGUUGGCCCUGUUGGUGCUCGUGGGCCCUGUUGGCCCUAUUUGUGCUGAUGGGCCCUGUUGGCCCUGUUGGUGCUGAUGGGCCCUGUUGGUGCUCAUGGGCCCUGUUGGUACUCGUAGGCCCUGUUGGCCCUAUUGGUGCUGAUGGGCCUGUUGGUGCUGAUGGGCCCUGUUGACCCUGUUGGUGCUGAUGGGCCUGUUGGUGCUGAUGGGCCCUGUUGGUACUCGUAGGCCCUGUUGGUGCUCGUGGGCCCUGUUGGCCCUGUUGGUGCUCGUGGGCCCUGUUGGUGCUCGUGGGCCCUGUUGGUGCUCGUAGGCCCUGUUGGCCCUGUUGGUGCUCGUAGGCCCUGUUGGCCCUGUUGGUGCUCGUGGGCCCUGUUGGCCCUGUUGGUGCUCGUGGGCCCUGUUGGCCCUGUUGGUGGUCAUGGGCCCUGUUGGUGCUGAUGGGCCCUGUUGGUGCUCGUGGGCCCUGUUGGCCCUGUUGGUGCUCGUGGGCCCUAUUGGUGCUCGUGGGCCCUAUUGGUGCUCGUGGGCCCUCUUGGUGCUCGUGGGCCCUUUUACAUGGAAAUUACUAUUAGCAUUAUUUAGAGACCCUCUCCUCCCCCAUAGUUGGAUUUAGGCCCCCCCCCCUUGUAAUUCGCACUCUGGAACAGUCUCAAUGUCAUGUUUCUGGUGGAGGACUAGUGUCUAGUAUAAACACCUGUUGGUAUGUAAAAACCCAGCUGUUGCUCUACUUCUGUCCAGUGACAUACUACUUAGAAUGAAGCAAUGUAUUUAAGAAUAGGUUACAGAACGGAAGAGGUGUUCUAGAAUACGUUAUAGAACAGAAGAGGUGUUCUAGAAUACGUUAUAGAACAGAAGAGGUGUUCUAGAAUACAUUAUAGAACAGAAGAGGUGUUCUAGAAUACAUUAUAGAUCAGAAGAGGUGUUCUAGAAUACAUUAUAGAACAGAAUAGGUGUUCUAGAAUACACUAUAGAACAGAAGAGGUGUUCUAGAAUACAUUAUAGAACAGAAGAGGUGUUCUAGAAUACAUUAUAGAAUGGAAGAGGUGUUCUAGAAUACAUUAUAGAAUGGAAGAGGUGUUCUAGUGUGGAUAUUGGAACAUCAUUAGAUCCAAACCCCACCCACCCACCUUAUAGGCCCUUCCCUGGCCUGGAGGAUGGGGCUUGGCUAGAAUGGACUGCUCCCAUCUGUCCCUCUCUCUCCUCCUGCUCACAGAUUGGUUGGCCAGGG
rnacentral:lncRNA from 1 species